GAAAGUUAAUACCGAUAAUGAGCCAGCGUAUAAAUAGCUGGACAUAAUUAACGCCACCAAAUUGAACCGUAGACUCCACACCAUGCAGACAGAUGUGGGGAUCAUAAAAUUACAAGAGCUUCACCUGUAGUAAACAUAAAGAGAGACGAGGAGAAUCAACUAGCACAUUAAAGACGGACUACAAUAAAUUGAAGAGAGAAAUACAGUAGUGUAAAUAAAGAAGGUGUCAGCAGGAAUACAAAACCAACAUCAGAAGAUUUGUUAAAGGAACCAGAUUACAAAUUAGAGGGGAUUCAGGAGAGUUCAAGAGGGUUCAAUUGCAACUCUGAAGAAGAGGGGACUCCACACUGUCAUGUUGCAAUAAGGAGCAAUCAGUACUAUGUGUAUGAUGAAUAAAUCAAACCAAAUCGGAUAACAUGCAUCAGAGAUCCAGAGACGUAUAGCGGAUGGGAGGCCCAGA